AGUUGGUCCGAUAGUAGAGGAUUAUCAGAACUUAUUAACAUUAAUGUCACUAUAGUUGGUAUACAACCCCCCCAACUGCUAAAUUUGACUGGUUUAAA
rnacentral:Y_RNA from 1 species